rnacentral:rRNA from 1 species
CACGUAGGGCGCAAGCGUUGUCCGGAAUUAUUGGGCGUAAAGAGCUCGUAGGCGGUCUGUUACGUCUGCUGUGAAAACCCAGGGCUUAACCCUGGGCUUGCAGUGGAUACGGGCAGACUAGAGGCAGGUAGGGGAGAAUGGAAUUCCUGGUGUAGCGGUGAAAUGCGUAGAGAUCAGGAAGAACACCGGUGGCGAAAGCGCUCUGCUAGGCCGCAACUGACACUGAGGGACGAAAGCUAGGGGAGCGAAUGGG